rnacentral:tRNA from 1 species
AAUGAAUUGCCUGAAAAAGGGCUACUUUGAUAGAGUAGAUUAUAUAAUUUUUUAAUUAUAUUCAUUA